AGAGUUUGAUCCUGGCUCAGGAUGAACGCUAGCUACAGGCUUAACACAUGCAAGUCGAGGGGAAACGAUAGAGAAAGCUUGCUUUUUCUAGGCGUCGACCGGCGCACGGGUGAGUAACGCGUAUCCAACCUGCCCACCACUUGGGAAUAACCUUGCGAAAGUAAGACUAAUACCCAAUGAUAUCUCUAGAAGACAUCUGAAGGAGAUUAAAGAUUUAUCGGUGAUGGAUGGGGAUGCGUCUGAUUAGCUUGUUGGCGGGGUAACGGCCCACCAAGGCGACGAUCAGUAGGGGUUCUGAGAGGAAGGUCCCCCACAUUGGAACUGAGACACGGUCCAAACUCCUACGGGAGGCAGCAGUGAGGAAUAUUGGUCAAUGGGCGAGAGCCUGAAUCAGCCAAGUAGCGUGCAGGAAGACGGCCCUAUGGGUUGUAAACUGCUUUUAUAAGGGAAUAAAGUGAGUCUCGUGAGACUUUUUGCAUGUACCUUAUGAAUAAGGACCGGCUAAUUCCGUGCCAGCAGCCGCGGUAAUACGGAAGGUCCGGGCGUUAUCCGGAUUUAUUGGGUUUAAAGGGAGCGUAGGCCGGAGAUUAAGCGUGUUGUGAAAUGUAGACGCUCAACGUCUGCACUGCAGCGCGAACUGGUUUCCUUGAGUACGCACAAAGUGGGCGGAAUUCGUGGUGUAGCGGUGAAAUGCUUAGAUAUCACGAAGAACUCCGAUUGCGAAGGCAGCUCACUGGAGCGCAACUGACGCUGAAGCUCGAAAGUGCGGGUAUCGAACAGGAUUAGAUACCCUGGUAGUCCGCACGGUAAACGAUGGAUGCCCGCUGUUGGUCUGAAUAGGUCAGCGGCCAAGCGAAAGCAUUAAGCAUCCCACCUGGGGAGUACGCCGGCAACGGUGAAA
rnacentral:rRNA from 1 species